rnacentral:rRNA from 1 species
UUCCUACGGGACGCAGCAGUGAGGAAUAUUGGUCAAUGGCCGAGAGGCUGAACCAGCCAAGUCGCGUGAGGGAUGACGGCCCUACGGGUUGUAAACCUCUUUUGUCGCGGAGCAAGACCCGCCACGAGUGGCGGAGCGAGAGUACCCGAAGAAAAAGCAUCGGCUAACUCCGUGCCAGCAGCCGCGGUAAUACGGAGGAUGCGAGCGUUAUCCGGAUUUAUUGGGUUUAAAGGGUGCGUAGGCGGGCUGAUAAGUUAGAGGUGAAAUACCGGUGCUC